rfam:Triticum urartu cultivar G1812 contig1451392, whole genome shotgun sequence.
GUACUACUCCCUCCGUUCCGAAUUACUUGUCUCAGAUAUAAAUGUAUUUAGAUGUAUUUUAGUUCUAGAUACAUCCAUUUCUGUGACGAGUAAUUUAGAACGGAGGAAGUAGUAG